rnacentral:lncRNA from 1 species
CAGUCCUCUGUCCGCCUGUCCUCAAGGCUAAGGCUGCCCAAUUGGCCUCGCGUCUGGUCUCCUGCUCCUGGCGCCUGGGCUGCCAAGCAUCCACCCGGAAUCUGAGCGUUUCGGUUUGAAGCUGUGGGAGGCCCCGAGAUGAGGUUUCUACCCAAGUCCACAGAGAAGAUUUCAGGCGGUGUUAGGAACAUCAUGUCUGUUAGCGUCUGGAACACUGUCAAUCCUGGUCAGCCAUCAAUUUGGCUAACUUGUCUUUCCUGGUUUUCGUUAGUGGGCAGCAUGAGUUCCCAGUCUCCGUUAGAAGCCCGCUUCAGACAGGCUUCCUGAAGUUUCUCUUCCGCACAGAGUCCGGACAGUUCUCCACAUCAGGCCAUUCGGUCACUGUUCUCAUCUC